ACGCUUAAAUGCACUUCAACAAAGCACAAGAAGUUUAGAAACACGCCACGCGACUACAUACAUCGGCAACAGGAAGUCAGGCACGUGCCGCUUUGCGUAAUGGGAUGUCAUGUGACCAAAUCGACCAAUCGCCGCAAGUUCGCAACUAAUUGGACAAAGAAAUGCACUUAAUGACACUUAAUAUUGAUCUGAUUUUACUCAUUCAUUGCUCUAACAAACGGUAACGGAGUUGUCACUUGACUAGUGACGCAAGAAUAUUCGUAAAAAUUCAAUUAAUUAUGCCACGAUUGUGUUGUCAGGUAUGUGCAACGUUUUUUUCAACGUCUGUCGCUGGAAUGUUGCAUCAUUUGGUCGCUGUUCAUGAACACGAUGCCAGAUUGCAUAUUAUCUGCGAAGUGCCGGAAUGUAAUUCAACCUUCGCUAAGGUUAACUCUUACAAAAGUCAUCUUAGAAGAAAGCACGCCAAUGUUGACUUAAACUCACGUCAUCUAUGUUGCGUUGAAUCAGCGAGUAGCACUCACAACAAUUUUUGUCCUGAUGAGGAUGGCCUUGAACUCUUAAUUGAUGAAUUCAACAGGGAAAAUGAACUUGAUGACUCUGUUCAAGCAAUGGAACACAAAAAGGCCCAAUUUCUUCUAAAACAAAAGAAA